rnacentral:rRNA from 1 species
GCUUACGGCCAUACCACCCUGAGAACGCCCGAUCUCGUCUGAUCUCGGAAGCUAAGCAGGGUCGGGCCUGGUUAGUACUUGGAUGGGAGACCGCCUAGGAAUACCAGGUGUUGUAAGCU